rnacentral:rRNA from 1 species
AUGAACGCUAGCUACAGGCUUAACACAUGCAAGUCGAGGGGCAGCAUGGUCUUAGCUUGCUAAGGCCGAUGGCGACCGGCGCACGGGUGAGUAACACGUAUCCAACCUGCCGUCUACUCUUGGACAGCCUUCUGAAAGGAAGAUUAAUACAAGAUGGCAUCAUGAGUCCGCAUGUUCACAUGAUUAAAGGUAUUCCGGUAGACGAUGGGGAUGCGUUCCAUUAGAUAGUAGGCGGGGUAACGGCCCACCUAGUCUUCGAUGGAUAGGGGUUCUGAGAGGAAGGUCCCCCACAUUGGAACUGAGACACGGUCCAAACUCCUACGGGAGGCAGCAGUGAGGAAUAUUGGUCAAUGGGCGAGAGCCUGAACCAGCCAAGUAGCGUGAAGGAUGACUGCCCUAUGGGUUGUAAACUUCUUUUAUAAAGGAAUAAAGUCGGGUAUGGAUACCCGUUUGCAUGUACUUUAUGAAUAAGGAUCGGCUAACUCCGUGCCAGCAGCCGCGGUAAUACGGAGGAUCCGAGCGUUAUCCGGAUUUAUUGGGUUUAAAGGGAGCGUAGAUGGAUGUUUGAGUCAGUUGUGAAAGUUUGCGGCUCAACCGUAAAAUUGCAGUUGAUACUGGAUAUCUUGAGUGCAGUUGAGGCAGGCGGAAUUCGUGGUGUAGCGGUGAAAUGCUUAGAUAUCACGAAGAACUCCGAUUGCGAAGGCAGCCUGCUAAGCUGCAACUGACAUUGAGGCUCGAAAGUGUGGGUAUCAAACAGGAUUAGAUACCCUGGUAGUCCACACGGUAAACGAUGAAUACUCGCUGUUUGCGAUAUACUGCAAGCGGCCAAGCGAAAGCGUUAAGUAUUCCACCUGGGGAGUACGCCGGCAACGGUGAAACUCAAAGGAAUUGACGGGGGCCCGCACAAGCGGAGGAACAUGUGGUUUAAUUCGAUGAUACGCGAGGAACCUUACCCGGGCUUAAAUUGCAGAUGAAUUACGGUGAAAGCCGUAAGCCGCAAGGCAUCUGUGAAGGUGCUGCAUGGUUGUCGUCAGCUCGUGCCGUGAGGUGUCGGCUUAAGUGCCAUAACGAGCGCAACCCUUGUUGUCAGUUACUAACAGGUUCCGCUGAGGACUCUGACAAGACUGCCAUCGUAAGAUGUGAGGAAGGUGGGGAUGACGUCAAAUCAGCACGGCCCUUACGUCCGGGGCUACACACGUGUUACAAUGGGGGGUACAGAGGGCCGCUACCACGCGAGUGGAUGCCAAUCCCCAAAACCUCUCUCAGUUCGGACUGGAGUCUGCAACCCGACUCCACGAAGCUGGAUUCGCUAGUAAUCGCGCAUCAGCCACGGCGCGGUGAAUACGUUCCCGGGCCUUGUACACACCGCCCGUCAAGCCAUGGGAGCCGGGGGUACCUGAAGUGCGUAACCGCGAGGAGCGCCCUAGGGUAAAACUGGUGACUGGGGCU